AUUGAACGCUGGCGGCAUGCUUUACACAUGCAAGUCGAACGGUAACAGGCCGCAAGGUGCUGACGAGUGGCGAACGGGUGAGUGAUGCAUCGGAACGUGCCCAGUCGUGGGGGAUAACGCAGCGAAAGCUGCGCUAAUACCGCAUACGAUCUAUGGAUGAAAGCGGGGGACCGAAAGGCCUCGCGCGAUUGGAGCGGCCGAUGUCAGAUUAGGUAGUUGGUGGGGUAAAGGUCCACCAAGCCAACGAUCUGUAGCUGGUCUGAGAGGACGACCAGCCACGCUGGGACUGAGACACGGCCCAGACUCCUACGGGAGGCAGCAGUGGGGAAUUUUGGACAAUGGGCGCAAGCCUGAUCCAGCAAUGCCGCGUGCAGGAAGAAGGCCUUCGGGUUGUAAACUGCUUUUGUACGGAACGAAACGGUCCGGGUUAAUACCCUGGGCUAAUGACGGUACCGUAAGAAUAAGCACCGGCUAACUACGUGCCAGCCGCCGCCGUAA
rnacentral:rRNA from 1 species